CGACAUCAGCCAAGCGAGACUACCCGCUGAACUUAAGCAUAUCAGUAAGCGGAGGAAAAGAAACUAACAAGGAUUCCAUUAGUAACUGCGAGUGAAAAUGGAUUAGCCCAAGGUUGAAUCUGGCUGGCCUACGCUAGUCCGAAAUGUAACCUAAGGAUUGGGGAUGUCUGGUGUUGAGCGUGAGCAAUUUUAGUGGAAACUAAAGCCAUAGAAGGUGAUAGCCCUGUACUCAUUACGCUACAAUGCCGGAAUCUUUUCCUCGAUUCCACGAGUAGGAAUGUUUGAAAUUGCAUUCUGAAUGGGUGAUAAGACGCAUCCAAGGCUAAAUAUAAGUUAGGAGACCGAUAGCAUACAAGUACUGUGAAGGAAAGGUGCAAAGGACUUUGAAAAAAGGGUUAAAAGCAUUUGAAACCAUUUAUGUGGAAGCGAUUGAUCUAGCUACUCGCAACAGAUAGGGUGUUAGUGGAAGCUUGGAUUAGUUGGUACUUGAUUGGUGGUAUGAAGCGUAAAAAACUUUAUAUUGUCUUUUGAGUGUUGACGGAUUUUCAAGUUAUUACCAUUGGUACCUGUUGCCAGCCGCCAUGAUACGUCAGUUUAGUAGUCUGUAUUGAGAGUUUCUUGGCUUGCCUUGAAACUUCUUUAUGGGAGAAAAAUUGAUUGUUAUGGUCCGAUUGUUAAGGUUAGCCAAUUUAUUUGUUAUGGUGGUUAAUAGUUUUUAGUUUGUUGUAAGUGUUCACCGAUCGGACAUUAGUCUGGUUGAAUGACCUGAUGGCAAGUUAGAGGCUAUUGGACUAUUAUGAUAGAAGCGGUUAGCUGAAAUUAAUUGGUUGGAAUGAGAGGUAGACAAUCGUCCCGUCUUGAAACACGGAUCAAGGAGGCUCCUUUAUGUGCGAGUUUAAGGGUGAUUAAAACCCGGAGGCGUAUUGAAAGAAAGAAUACUCUGAAAGAUCGUAUGUAAAUACCUUCUGUAAAGAGUGCCCGGAUCAUGAGGAUUCUAUUCCGAAAGGAUCUGCGGUUGAGCACAUAGAGGAGGACCCGAAAGGAUGUGAACUAUGCUUGAGGAAGGCGAAGCCAGGGGAAACUCUGGUGGAGGCUUGUAGCGAUACUGACGUGCAAAUCGUUCGUCUAACUUGAGUAUAGGGGCGAAAGACUAAUCGAACAUCCUAGUAGCUGGUUCCUCUCGAAGUUUCCCUCAGGAUAGCUGGAACCCAUAGACCACUAUUACCGUCCUGUAAAGAUAUUGAUUAGCAGACUCGGGGGUGUAACGCCUUCAGCUGAUUCUCAAACUUUGAACGGGCGGAACUUGAUGCGGUUGUUUUUAAUUAACAGUCGUCUCAAAGAGAAAGCGUGACAAACUUUCUCUGAAUAUAGUAGGUUCCUAGUGGGCCAUUUUUGGUAAGCAGAACUGGCGAUGUGGGAUGAACCAAAUGUUGGGAUAAGGCGCCCAACAACUGCUAAUAGAUACCACAAAAGGUGUUAGUUCAUUAUGACAGCUGGACUGUGGCCAUGGAAGUCGGCAUCAGCUAAGAAGUGUGUAACAACUUACCAGCCAAAUGAACUAGUCCUGAAAAUUGAUGGCGCUAUAGCAGUUGGCCGAUGCCCAACCGUUAAAGUGAUUUAAAACACAUUUUAACGAGUAGAGAGGCGUGGAGGUAACGUAGAAGUAUGGCUGUAGAGUCGUAUGGAGUUGCCUCUAGUGCAGAUCUUGAUGGUAGUAGCAAAUAUUCAAAAGAACGACUUCACUUUGAAGGCCGAAGUGGAGAAGGGUUCCAUAACAAUGGAAUUCAUUUAUGGGUGAGUCGGUCCUAAGCCUUGGGUGAAAACUCUCAAAUAUGGUAUACUUGUCUGAAUUGGUUGGCUGGUAGCAAUACUGGUUGAUUGGUUUGGAGUAAAACUUGUAUACUGUAAGGGCGAAAGGUAAUCGAAUUAAAAUUUUCGAACCAAUAACCAAGAGUUGACGGGUAACCAAUUAUAGUGUGACUAUCAAUUGUGGGCGGAGGCAGAGUUAUCUUUUCUAUCUAACACCAAUUUACUUCCUAAAAAAAAGUUUGGGGUCCACCGAAUCAGGUCAACUGGAGAAGUGGUUCCUAUGGUGAAAUAGUACUAACCAUUGGUUAGUAUCUCCUGUCCUACAAUUGGUCCUUGAAAAUCACUCUAUAGAUAAAAGUGUAGUUCGCUAUGCUGGCUCUUGAUUAUUGUCCGUACCAAUAACCACAUCAGGUCUCCAAGGUGAAUAGCCUCUGGCCAAAUGUAUUAAUGUAGAUAAGGGAAGUCGGCAAAACCGAUCCGUAACUUCGGGAUAAGGAUUGGCUCUAAAGACUGGUUUCGUCGACUAUAGAAAGACCGAUUGGAUUGGGUCGAGAUUGUUAGGGGCAACUUUGACAGUUUCUUCUUGUCUGGUUGGUAGCGUUUUAUAGCGGUGCUUGGGGGCAACUUCAGGUACCAUCUUCGGCGAUUCAUUUAACAGUUAAUUUAGAACUGUAACGAUCACCGGGAAUCCAACUGUUUAAUUAAAACAAAGCAUUGUGAGUAGCCUAACGGCCAUUGACACAAUGUGAUUUCUGCCCAGUGCUCUGAAUGUCAAAGUGAAGAAAUUCAAAGUAGCAC
rfam:Trichophyton benhamiae CBS 112371 contig01299.0, whole genome shotgun sequence.